rnacentral:pre_miRNA from 1 species
CCCUCAAUGGCUCAGUAGCCAGUGUAGAUCCUGUCUUUUGUAAUCAGUAGCUACAUCUGGCUACUGGGUCUCUGAUGGCAUCUUCUA